UUCGGACCUAGAGACCGGCGCACGGGUGCGUAACGCGUAUGCAAUCUACCUUUUACAGAGGGAUAGCCCAGAGAAAUUUGGAUUAAUACCUCAUAGUAUUAUUGAAUGGCAUCAUUUAAUAAUUAAAGUCACAACGGUAAAAGAUGAGCAUGCGUCCCAUUAGCUUGUUGGUAAGGUAACGGCUUACCAAGGCAACGAUGGGUAGGGGUCCUGAGAGGGAGAUCCCCCACACUGGUACUGAGACACGGACCAGACUCCUACGGGAGGCAGCAGUGAGGAAUAUUGGUCAAUGGGCGCAAGCCUGAACCAGCCAUGCCGCGUGCAGGAUGAAGCAUCUAUGGUGUGUAAACUGCUUUUGUACGAGAAGAAACACUCCUACGUGUAGGAGCUUGACGGUAUCGUAAGAAUAAGGACCGGCUAACUCCGUGCCAGCAGCCGCGGUAAUACGGAGGGUCCAAGCGUUAUCCGGAAUCAUUGGGUUUAAAGGGUCCGUAGGCGGUUUAGUAAGUCAGUGGUGAAAGCCCAUCGCUCAACGGUGGAACGGCCAUUGAUACUGCUAAACUUGAAUUAUUGUGAAGUAACUAGAAUAUGUAGUGUAGCGGUGAAAUGCUUAGAGAUUACAUGGAAUACCAAUUGCGAAGGCAGGUUACUAACAAUAUAUUGACGCUGAUGGACGAAAGCGUGNGUAGCGAACAGGAUUAGAUACCCUGGUAGUCCACGCCGUAAACGAUGGAUACUAGCUGUUCGGAGCAAUCUGAGUGG
rnacentral:rRNA from 1 species